rnacentral:rRNA from 1 species
AACGAACGCUGGCGGCAUGCCUAACACAUGCAAGUCGAACGAGACCUUCGGGUCUAGUGGCGCACGGGUGCGUAACGCGUGGGAACCUGCCCUUAGGUUCGGAAUAACUCCCCGAAAGGGGUGCUAAUACCGGAUAAUGUCUUCGGACCAAAGAUUUAUCGCCUUUGGAUGGGCCCGCGUUGGAUUAGCUAGUUGGUAGGGUAAAAGCCUACCAAGGCGACGAUCCAUAGCUGGUCUGAGAGGAUGAUCAGCCACACUGGGACUGAGACACGGCCCAGACUCCUACGGGAGGCAGCAGUGGAGAAUAUUGGACAAUGGGCGAAGGCCUGAUCCAGCAAUGCCGCGUGAGUGAUGAAGGCCUUAGGGUUGUAAAGCUCUUUUACCCGGGAUGAUAAUGACAGUACCGGGAGAAUAAGCUCCGGCUAACUCCGUG